ACUUGUCCAAUUUGCCAAAUGCUACUGGAAUUAGGAGCUUUGCUAAGGUGAACCUAAUGUUGACCUUUUCAGCUUCGUCCCUACUGCCAGCGGUGGACGAUCAGUGAUGUUGUGGGACUGUUUUUCGUCCAAUGAACCCCUGGUAAAGUGCAUGGCAUCAUAAACUGAUUUUAAAUCGAAUGGUCUUUGUCAAGAAAGUAAAAAAAGGGGUUGUCAUUAGGUCUUUCAACAGGAUGAUAAUCCGAAACAUCCGGCCAGAUGAAGACAGUAGAUGCCACUUUUCUGGCCAUCUUAGUCCCCAAACUUAGAUCCUUUUGAAAACCUGCAGGGUGAGCAAGAAUGGAGGAGCUGGAUGACAAUCCAGAGGGAUUUUGCUGAGAGGAAUCAUCAAAGGUCCUUGUGCCUUUGGCGAUUCCUGUUACAAGAGAAGACUACGCGCUGUCCUACUGGUAGAAGAUUGCUAUAGAAAUAACUUCACUUGAAAUAACAUAUCUAAAAUUAAAGGCUAGGCUUUUGGACAAUUUUCAGUGUAAGACCGUGCUACUGUGAGAAAAGCUUAAUUCAUUUUAAGUCUUAUAACACCCUCUGUUUCAGGGGUGCCAACAAGUGUAAAUGCUGUUGGCACGGUGCAUUAUAUGCUCCUCUUAAACCUAAAUGAAUCAACAUUAAUACAUAGACGUGACAUUCACUCGCCAUGCGCUCUAAUCCAGCCCUGCAUGAUGACUGCUCCUUGCGGCCCAGAGGACGCAGCUCUCAAUUCACAUUUGGACAACUCAGACCACAGGUUUGUUUCUCUUCUGUACUUCAGGCUCGUUCUGUUUGGGACUACAAAUAAAAUGACCUCGUAUAACUAUCCGUCUUCUAUUAGACUUCACUAUUUUCUGCAUACCUCUUGCACACUGAAAAGUCCUUGGUGCAGUGUCCCGGCCGACUCCAUAUUGGAAUCAACUUAAAUGGCUUGAAUUAAUUUGGAAUUUAAGCAAUCUCUCCAAGUAAAUAUGGGUUUUCCCCCGAAUGCCAGUGCCGCGCUUAAGUGUUCACAACUUAAUGAGCCACAUUACGAACGCAAACUCGAUGUGUUAAAGAACCACGUCUUGCUACAUCUAAGGGGAGAAGGGUGUUUCUACACCAGCUUUGUACAUUUAGAGAAAUGUACACUUUGUCUUCACUUCAAAGUAGCUCGGGUUUAGUCAGAUUUGAUGGAUGGCAUGUGUCGGAGCAGCAAUUUUCUAGUAUCACAAAACUUUCUCGAUUGUAUUUAAGUCUGGGCAUCGAUUGGGCCGUUUGUAACGCAUAAAUGUGGUUUGAUCUAAACCGUACGUGGCUCUGGCUGCAUGUUCAGCGUCGUCGUCCAGCUGAAAGGUGGAGCCUCUGCUGAAGUCUCAAGUCUUUUUCAGCCUCCAGCAGAACCGACUAGUAUACAUUUCCAUUCAUCUUCCCAUCAGCUCUGACCUGCUUCCCCGUCUCCCUGCUAAAGAAAAGCAUCCUCGCAGCAUAACGCUGCUAACGUUGACCGAGAAUAUGGUUUGUUGUUUGUUUUUUUACAGUAAGAUAACGAGUGCUGCAUGCAAAUACACUAUUUUGGUUUGUAUUCCUCCAUAUGUUGCUACUAUGCUGCUUCAUUUCACCAUAGGUGCCAUUUAGUGUUGGUCAAUCACAUAAAACCCCCUCAGACUACAUUUCAAAUUGUGGUUGUUUGUAAAAAAAAAAAAAAAAAAAAGAGAUCAGUAAUCACUCAAAUCUCUGGGGGAAAAAAUAAAAGCACAAAAUCACUCUAGUUUUGCCACUAUUGUUGUAGUGUCAUUUAUUUCUCAAUGGCAGUCGGAAAACAGGUUUUCUGGACCGCCGUGGCUGGCUGUGUGUUUGCUCCUUGGCUCUUUCAGCUCACACAUGAUGAAUAUCCAAUCAGCACAGUCAAUUUGCUGAGUCAUGCUUGGGUUGCUUUCAAAUACCCUGUGGGUAUGGAGAAAUAAUUAAGGAACACGGCUCCUUUUCGCCCUGUUGAGGUUGAUUCACCUGUUUGUUUGCUUGAGUUAUCGGGGAACCAGGCACUAAAGAAGCAGAACUGAUUCAUUUUAAUAUGUUUUUACAUCAGUUUUUUUUUUGUUUUGUUUUGUUUUUCUCCCGUUUCUGUAGCCAAAAAAUGCCCUAGAAAUACCUCCCACAACUUUUGUUUACUACCAUUACAAAGCAGAACAGAGCAUAUUAGAAAGAUGUCAGAUAAAUGUUUUAUUCCCCCGGAAACUCGCAGUGUAUUCUCCAUGAAUACAAUAUAUCUACUUUCCGCUGUCUUCCACCCCUGCUUUUCCUAAUGGGAUUCACUCCUUUGCAUUUCAGUGAAAAGCUGCUAUUUUUUCCAGGUUUGCUGAUGCAAAGAAAUAAGUGCACUUUAGAGUUUUGGAGCCGGAGAAGCAAGGUACCAUUGCCUAUCAGGAAUGGUUCAAUUACCAGCUUUCAUACUGGAAGGGGAAAGGGACUGUAAUCCAUGCUUUCUCUUCGUUGCUGUUUUUUUUGUUUUUUUUGUUUACCCAUUUACAAGUUGUCUCUUCAUCCUCCUGCUCGCUCCUCGCUUUAUUGCACUCCAAAGUUUACUGCUGGAGCAUUAGCAAUUCUAAUGAAAUGGAGCGCUGUACUCUGUUUGAUCCGCCCGGGAGUGAUACUAAAGGGAUUUUUACCAAGAGGUGGGAAGAAUCAAAAGACAGAAUGAUGGAAGAACUAGGGUGAUGACACUUCCCUGCCUUCCAGCAGGCAGCGUGAACAACACGGAGACGUAGAUGCAAAAUACCAACUCCUAAAAGAAAAUUUGCGGAUGGUAGAUUGUGAGUUCAGCUGUUCUUGUUCUGGAUUUAUUUAUUGUUGUGGUUGACUAAAUCAAGUUUUUGAUAACCCCACAGCUGUUUAAAGCAGGGUUAGGUUAGAAAACAAAAUCCCAAACUUUGCAAAGUUCAAUCCAUCAUCUGACAGUCAAAACGGUGUAGGGGAUGAUGGCUGCAACCAAAACAGGAUUUCCCAGCAGGCACAGUAACCAGAGUGUUAAUCAGAGAUUAGAGGGCCAUGAUGACUCUGGAGGAGCUGCAGGACAGAAACCCAUAAAAGUCCCAUUCGUAGUUUACCAUAAAACCAUGCAGGAGAUGCAGCAAACAAUUGGAAGGAGGUGCUCUGGUCAGGAGAGACUAAAUUUAACAUUCCUGGCCAACAUGCAUCACCCCAAUCUGUGUUGGUCUGUCACAUAAAAUCCAAGCAAAACAAGGGACAGGAGCUGCUAUCUCACAUAAUCUAGAGCCUGCGUUACAUGGAGCGUCUCCUCGGCUGUUGCUAGACUGCCAUCUGGGCAGCUACAGUUGGAGGAAGGAAGGUGUGGACAGGUGUGUGUCAACAUGCAUGCAUGAAUAGCUGCUUGUGUAUCCAGGUCUGCUGUUUCUCCCUCUUAAUGUGUGUGUCCGCGCACGCGCGUGUGUGUGUGCGCGUGUGUGUGUGUGUGUGUGUGUGUGUGUGUUCUCUCCCUGCCUGUCCUGUCUGCUCUGGCCCAGCAGCUGCCACCCCAGGCCAGAUAGGAUGACAUGACCUUCCCCAGUAAUGAAAAGGCACUGACAAAUCACUGUCUGCUUCUCAUAGUGCGAGCGCAGGAGGAGGGAUGCUGACGCCAACAUCAUCCCGCUCUCCUCCCCGCUCUGCGGCUCUCCGUGGUUUUGUUGUUGUUUUCUCGCAAGUGUGUCUACAUGUUUGUCUCUCGUCCAAAAGCAGGGCUCUCGUCGGGGGUCUGUCCCUAGACAGCCGUGUUUAUGACUGAGAGGAUGAUGGGCUCUGCUUCACCCUCUAACUUCCUCUCUGGGCUCCCUGCCUCGCGUCUCUCUCUUUCUCUCUCUCUCUUUUUUUUUUCUUUUAGCCUUAAUUGGCCGUGGUUGAGGAGAGGGAUUGUCUUGGCAAAGAUGUGAAAAGGAUAUGCCUGGUUGCACACCAGUCGUUUCAGCGAUCUAUUAAAUACAACUUGCAGGGAAGAGGGGAGCGUUCCUCCAUCUUUACGCCCUCCCCCACCCCCCACCCCACCCCUCCGCCUCUGCUCUGGCUUCCUGUAGCAUGCGCUGAGCUGCAUUUCUGACUUGGUAUUUCUCUUUUGUUUCAGGGAGUGGUGGAGAGGAAAGACUAACAGACAGAGGAGCAGGGUUGUCGAGGACCUUUAUCCCCCGGGCACAGACGUUCCCCAGCUUUCUGUCUGAUGAGCAGGAGGAGAGGAGCCACCGCCACCAAGAAGAGGCGCCGUCGCCCUCUAGUGGCUGCGAAUCCAGUUGCAGCCUCAGACCGCUUCAAUGACAGGGAGCAGCUUAAGCGGCUGUGAACACUCAACCCGUCAAUGUAGAGAGGAUUCAGCAAUCUGUAUAGUGAUACGUGUAAUAUACCUGUAGAAGCUGUAGAAGGGAUCCUGGAGGAUCGUCAAGUGUGGCUGCAGAGAUAGCUUCUAAAAGUGCACCAAAAAUCCUCUGUGUGUUAUUUAAAGUGUUUCUCGUCGCCA